UCAGGCGUGGCCGUUGCUUACCAUGCACAUAACCCAGCUCAACCGGGAGUGCCUGCUGCACCUCUUUUCCUUCCUGGACAAGGACAGCAGGAAGAGCCUUGCCAGGACCUGCUCCCAGCUCCAGGAUGUGUUUGAAGACCCAGCACUCUGGCCCCUGCUGCAUUUUCAUUCCCUCACAGAACUCAAGAAGGAUAACUUCCUCCUGAGCCCAGCGCUCAGGAGCCUCUCCAUCUGCUGGCACUCAAGCCGGGUGCAGGUGUGCAGCAUUGAGGACUGGCUCAAGAGCACCUUCCAGAGGAGUAUCUGCAGCCAGCACGAGAGCCUGGUCAAUGACUUCCUCCUCCAGGUGUGCGACAGGUGCCCCAACCUGGUGUCCGUCACGUUAGCGGGCUGCGGCCACGUCACCGACGACUGUCUGGCGCGCCUGCUGUGCUGCUGUCCGCGCCUGCGCGCGCUGCGCCUGGAGAACUGCGCGCGCGUCACCAACCGCACGCUGACGGCCGUGGCGGCGCACGGGCGCGCGCUGCAGACUCUGCACGUGGACUUCUGCCGCAACGUGAGCGCCACCGGCCUGCGCAGCCUGCGCGCCGCGUGCCCACGCCUGGAGCUGCGCGCCGAACAUAGCGCAGCCAUGAUGCCGGAUCAGCUCCCAGGUAGCACGUUAGCUGCCCGGAUGGCCGUCCGCAAGUUGCUGCCGCACUAGACCUGCCGGGCCGCGGGGACGAUGCCCCGCUAAGGACCUCUGUGUUGGAGGGAUUGGGGACCGGGCAGUCAGAUAAUUUGGCUUGGAACCCUAGCUUCUCCAGUUCCCAGACUAAUCACUGCUGCUUCUGAGCCUCAGUUUCCCCGCCUGCAAAAUGGGGAUACUGCCUACCUCACUUUGCAACUUUAUACUUUUGAUGAAUGCGAGAUUAAAUUAAUCAACGGAUGCAUGAUCCAAAAGGAUUUCAUAAUAAAUUAAAAACAAAACAAAGAACAAAAGGAUUAGAAAUGGCCCACCAGUCCUGCUACAUGCUGGAGCAAAACAGCGGCAAUUUUAUUUGCUGUGUCUGGGAA